CACGUAGUUAGCCGUGGCUUAUUCGUCAGGUACCGUCACUUUCUUCGUCCCUGACAAAAGAAGUUUACAACCCGAGGGCCUUCUUCCUUCACGCGGCGUUGCUGGGUCAGGCUUGCGCCCAUUGCCCAAUAUUCCCCACUGCUGCCUCCCGUAGGAGUCUGGGCCGUGUCUCAGUCCCAAUGUGGCCGGCCAACCUCUCAGUCCGGCUACUGAUCGUCGUCUUGGUGGGCCGUUACCCCGCCAACAAACUAAUCAGACGCGAGGCCAUCUUAGAGCGAUAAAUCUUUGGCAGUCAGAGCCAUGCGACCCAACUGCAUUAUGCGGUAUUAGCAGCCAUUUCUGGCUGUUAUUCCCCACUCCAAGGCAGGUUCCUCACGCGUUACUCACCCGUCCGCCACUAGGUAGUCCAUUCAGUUGGCCGAAGCCUCCGUCAUGGGUACCCCGUUCGACUUGCAUGUGUUAAGCACGCCGCCAGCGUUCAUCCUGAGCCAGGAUCAAACUCU
rnacentral:rRNA from 1 species